ACGAACGCUGGCGGCGUGCUUAACACAUGCAAGUCGAACGGAAAGGCCCUGCUUUUGUGGGGUGCUCGAGUGGCGAACGGGUGAGUAACACGUGAGUAACCUGCCCUUGACUUUGGGAUAACUUCAGGAAACUGGGGCUAAUACCGGAUAGGAGCUCCUGCUGCAUGGUGGGGGUUGGAAAGUUUCGGCGGUUGGGGAUGGACUCGCGGCUUAUCAGCUUGUUGGUGGGGUAGUGGCUUACCAAGGCUUUGACGGGUAGCCGGCCUGAGAAGGUGACCGGCCACAUUGGGACUAAGAGACGGCCCAGUCUCCUACGGGAGGCAGCAGUGGAGAAUAUUGCACAAUGGGCGGGAGCCUGAGGCGGCAGCGCCGCGUGCGGGAUGACGGCCUUCGGGUUGUAAACCGCUUUCGCCUGUGACGAAGCGUGAGUGACGGUAAUGGGUAAAGAAGCACCGGCUAACUACGUG
rnacentral:rRNA from 1 species